rnacentral:misc_RNA from 1 species
GUAGGUGAACCUGCGGAAGGAUCAUUAACACGUAUCCAACGUUAAACCCCCCCUGUGCACACAGUGACCUGCUCCCCUCAAUUUCGGUCUGAGGCAAUCCCUGGUAAAUCAUCGCCGAACAGUUUUGAUUCAGGGACAUCCAAAGGACCGGGGUAGGGUAUUAAAGUAGUAGUCCCAUGCAAGUGACCUGGUUUCCCCAAGCAGCUAAAAACGUCCCGAGAACGGACCGAGUGGUAGUUCGAGGGGUUGA